ACACAUGCAAGUCGAACGAGCGAGAGAGAGCUUGCUUUCUCGAGCGAGUGGCGAACGGGUGAGUAACGCGUGAGGAACCUGCCUCAAAGAGGGGGACAACAGUUGGAAACGACUGCUAAUACCGCAUAAGCCCACGGGUCGGCAUCGACCAGAGGGAAAAGGAGCAAUCCGCUUUGAGAUGGCCUCGCGUCCGAUUAGCUAGUUGGUGAGGUAACGGCCCACCAAGGCGACGAUCGGUAGCCGGACUGAGAGGUUGAACGGCCACAUUGGGACUGAGACACGGCCCAGACUCCUACGGGAGGCAGCAGUGGGGAAUAUUGCACAAUGGGGGAAACCCUGAUGCAGCGACGCCGCGUGGAGGAAGAAGGUCUUCGGAUUGUAAACUCCUGUUGUUGGGGAAGAUAAUGACGGUACCCAACAAGGAAGUGACGGCUAACUACGUGCCAGCAGCCGCGGUAAAACGUAGGUCACAAGCGUUGUCCGGAAUUACUGGGUGUAAAGGGAGCGCAGGCGGGAAGACAAGUUGGAAGUGAAAUCUAUGGGCUCAACCCAUAAACUGCUUUCAAAACUGUUUUUCUUGAGUAGUGCAGAGGUAGGCGGAAUUCCCGGUGUAGCGGUGGAAUGCGUAGAUAUCGGGAGGAACACCAGUGGCGAAGGCGGCCUACUGGGCACCAACUGACGCUGAGGCUCGAAAGUGUGGGUAGCAAACAGGAUUAGAUACCCUGGUAGUCCACACCGUAAACGAUGAUUACUAGGUGUUGGAGGAUUGACCCCUUCAGUGCCGCAGUUAACACAAUAAGUAAUCCACCUGGGGAGUACGACCGCA
rnacentral:rRNA from 1 species